rnacentral:rRNA from 1 species
AUUGAACGCUGGCGGCAGGCCUAACACAUGCAAGUCGAGCGAGCGGCGGACGGGUGUGAUAUGUCUGGGAAUUGCCCAGUCGAGGGGGAUAACAGUUGGAAACGACUGCUAAUACCGUAUACGAUUGGAUCGCCCAGGUGGGAUUGGCUAGUGGGUGAGGUAAUGGCUCACCAAGGCGACGAUCCCUAGCUGGUCUGAGAGGAUGAUCAGCCACACUGGAACUGAGACACGGUCCAGACUCCUACGGGAGGCAGCAGUGGGGAAUAUUGCACAAUGGGGGAAACCCUGAUGCAGCCAUGCCGCGUGUAUGAAGAAGGCCUUCGGGUUGUAAAGCACUUUCAGCGAGGAGGCGUUACUCGCAGAAGAAGCACCGGCUAACUCCGUGCCAGCAGCCGCGGUAAUUC